rnacentral:rRNA from 1 species
AGAGUUUGAUCAUGGCUCAGAACGAACGCUGGCGGCGCGCCUAAUACAUGCAAGUCGAGCGAGAAGACGUAGCAAUACGUUUGUAAAGCGGCGAACGGGUGAGGAAUACAUGGGUAACCUACCCUCGAGUGGGGAAUAACUAGCCGAAAGGUUAGCUAAUACCGCAUACGACUCCUGGUCUGCGGAUCGGGAGGGAAAGCGAUACCGUGGGUAUCGCGCUCUUGGAUGGGCUCAUGUCCUAUCAGCUUGUUGGUGAGGUAAUGGCUCACCAAGGCUUCGACGGGUAGCUGGUCUGAGAGGACGAUCAGCCACACUGGCACUGCGACACGGGCCAGACUCCUACGGGAGGCAGCAGUAAGGAAUAUUGCGCAAUGGGCGACAGCCUGACGCAGCGACGCCGCGUGGGGGAUGAAGGUCUUCGGAUUGUAAACCCCUUUCGGCAGGGAAGAUGGAACGGGUAACCGUUCGGACGGUACCUGCAGAAGCAGCCACGGCUAACUUCGUGCCAGCAGCCGCGGUAAUACGAAGGUGGCAAGCGUUGUUCGGAUUUACUGGGCGUACAGGGAGCGUAGGCGGUUGGGUAAGCCCUCCGUGAAAUCUCCGGGCCUAACCCGGAAAGUGCGGAGGGGACUGCUCGGCUAGAGGAUGGGAGAGGAGCGCGGAAUUCCCGGUGUAGCGGUGAAAUGCGUAGAGAUCGGGAGGAAGGCCGGUGGCGAAGGCGGCGCUUUGGAACAUUUCUGACGCUGAGGCUCGAAAGCGUGGGGAGCAAACAGGAUUAGAUACCCUGGUAGUCCACGCCUUAAACGAUGGAUACUAAGUGUCGGCGGGUUACCGCCGGUGCCGCAGCUAACGCAUUAAGUAUCCCGCCUGGGAAGUACGGCCGCAAGGUUGAAACUCAAAUGAAUUACGG